UACGUAGGGUGCAAGCGUUGUCCGGAAUUAUUGGGCGUAAAGAGCUCGUAGGCGGUUUGUCGCGUCGAAUGUGAAAACCCGGGGCUCAACCCCGGGCCUGCAUUCGAUACGGGCAGACUAGAGUUCGGUAGGGGAGUUUGGAAUUCCUGGUGUAGCGGUGAAAUGCGCAGAUAUCAGGAGGAACACCGGUGGCGAAGGCGGGACUCUGGGCCGAUACUGACGCUGAGGAGCGAAAGCGUGGGGAGCAAACAGG
rnacentral:rRNA from 1 species